AACGAACGCUGGCGGCAGGCUUAACACAUGCAAGUCGAACGCACCGCAAGGUGAGUGGCAGACGGGUGAGUAACGCGUGGGAACGUGCCCUUCAGUUCGGAAUAACCCAGGGAAACUUGGGCUAAUACCGGAUACGUGCGAGAGCAGAAAGAUUUAUCGCUGAAGGAUCGGCCCGCGUCUGAUUAGCUAGUUGGUGGGUAAUGGCCCACCAAGGCGACGAUCAGUAGCUGGUCUGAGAGGAUGAUCAGCCACAUUGGGACUGAGACACGGCCCAAACUCCUACGGGAGCAGCAGUAAGGAAUAUUGGUCAAUGGAGGCAACUCUGAACCAGCCAUGCCGCGUGCAGGAAGACAGCCCUCUGGGU
rnacentral:rRNA from 1 species